UGCUCAAUAAAUAUAAAUAAAUGUUGCAAAAGGCUGGAUCCAAAUGUGGUAUAUUUCGUCCUCCAGUUUUGAAGGAAAAGGAUUUUUUUGUUAACUGGAACAGAAAACGCGAGGUACUUCUACGUUUAAUUCCUGUCGGUCUCAGACUACCAAAAUGAGGCUGUAAAGAAGUGGUAGAACUUUAAUUGCAUAGCCCAUGGGAGUCCGUCGCCAUGGCAACGUUAAAGCAAUAGCUGGAGAAUUUACAGCAGUGCUGCUUCUGCACGCAGGAAAAGGCGACCUUCUGGUUCCCUACGAGACAGGGAGGAAUGGACACAGAUACGCACACAGAUGCACCCGUCCUCGCACCACACACAGACACAUGAUUUCUUACGUUUCCAUGGUGAUCCAGGCUGGGAUCACAUUGCGUGCCAUAGCAUUUGUUCCCACUUAUGCCUACUCGUGAGGUGUUUGUGGGUUGUUAUCACUACAGUUUACAUCUAAAAAUAGCAAGACAAAGCUUGGCAAGGAGAGGAAAGGUCAAGCCACCAAGAAAACCUAUGUGAGCUACAACAACCUCAGGAUCUGAAAGCCCAGCCUGCGUUCUUCCUCAUUGACCCGCGGCGGCCCGGCGGCGGACUGGGCCAGCUGCGGGGAAGGGCCUGCAGGGGGGGGAGAGAAAGGAAGGAAGGAAAGAAUGAAGGAGGCGCUCCCUCUGCACUAGCGGCCCUACGCCCGCGUAGGACCGCCGCCGAAAGCAUACCAUCCCCAUCCUAACCCGGGAGGGGGCUCCGCCCGGACAGCGGUCGGCACACAGCCGUAGGCCCGCUGUGUUUGUGUUAUUAAGUUUGACCGGCAGAACCAGACUGUUUUGGUUUUGGAUGUUGACAGCUGUGUGCCCCCCCCCCCCCCCCCCCCCCCCAUCCCUCUGUGUCCGGGACCAGGGGAGACCCUGCCUGCUGAUGCCGGUGUUUGUUCCGUGGUCUGUGGUUGUAAGUGUCGACCACACACACAGGGACAACGGACCGGAAGCACGGAUCGGAUCCGCACAUCGUUUCUGUUUAAUGGUCAUUAAAGCCAUAUCCUCCAUGGCGACUUCCAUUAUCCAAUUUUAUGUUUUGUAUUGUUGACUUUUUUCCCUCCUUGUGCUUCUUUCUUUACGAUGGUUUAACGAUGAUUAAACAACGUCAAUAGUGAGCCCUGCCAUUUUCAUUUUUAUCCAAAAAAAAAAAACUUUAAAUGACCUUUCGGUGUAAUAUUGAUAUAUCGGCAUUGUAAAAUGCAUAGCUGUAUGGAUGAGAAUUUCUGAGCAUGCCUUAAACAAAACUCUACCCACUGGCGUUGUUGUUGAGAUUAUAUGGAAAAAAACAUAUCUUGUACCGUCUAUGGCUGUGUCUCCAUGGAGUUUUUUUAAAUUUGAUUUAAUUUGAACAUCCAAUGGAAUAUUUUUUAGCCGAGGGAAUGCAAAUUAAGACGGUAGAGAGCUGAACAUUAUGCAUCGGACGCGCUGUUUUCAGUCCCUCGUAGAGGAGAGUUGCUGCAGUAAUUUAGUAAACAUCACAGCCAAACAUGUUUCAGUGAUGAUGGAUUACCUACGCCUCAACCACUUUUGACUGCCUGAGAGUUUUCCCACAGUUUUUAAUACACAGUAAUACUAUAGCAGUGAAGGGAGCCUGUUAUGAUCGAACAAAAAAAGGAAGACAAUGCUAUCUAUACAGAGAUGCACACAAACUCUGUUAAUGACCAGUGGGAUGCUAACAUAAUGUCUUUACAUCGAAGCUACGCCGGUUGGGUCCUUUGAAUUAGUCCUAUUAACCAAAAGGUGUUAUGUCAAAGCAAUGGGCCCUGUAUAUACAAUUUUUUGUAAAUAUUUGAGAGUAUUUUCAUGUUUGAAGACACAAAUAGAUAUACAGUAUUUGUUCAAUUGGCUUUGGUUGGUUAUGAAAGCACCACAGAGUAUUCACAUUGCAUGUGCCAAUGUAUGUCUGUUCAAUUUGAUGUAAACAAAAAUAGAAAAAUAAAUCGGGAAAAUGAUAAUGA